rnacentral:tRNA from 1 species
AAUGCCAUAGCAAAAUGCUAUAACUUGCAAAGUUAAAUAUGCAGGUUAAAAUCCUGUUGGCAUUU